GUGCUUCCCUCUAGCAGCUCAUGUGCUAAAAUUGGGAAAAAAAGAAAAUUAGCAUGUUCCCUGCAAAACAAUGACAUGUAAAUUUAUAAAACAAUCCAAAAGAGU